rnacentral:rRNA from 1 species
CACGUAGGGGGCGAGCGUUGUCCGGAUUUAUUGGGCGUAAAGAGCUCGUAGGCGGUUCUGUAAGUCGGGUGUGAAAACUCUGGGCUCAACCCAGAGACGCCACUCGAUACUGCGGUGACUAGAGUCCGGUAGGGGAGUGUGGAAUUCCUGGUGUAGCGGUGAAAUGCGCAGAUAUCAGGAGGAACACCAACGGCGAAGGCAGCACUCUGGGCCGGUACUGACGCUGAGGAGCGAAAGCGUGGGGAGCGAACAGG